GGUGUAGCGCAGUUGGUAGCGCGCCUGCUUUGGGAGCAGGAUGUCGGGGGUUCAAGUCCCUUCACU
rnacentral:tRNA from 2 species